rnacentral:rRNA from 1 species
CUACGGGAGGCAGCAGUGGGGAAUAUUGCACAAUGGGCGAAAGCCUGAUGCAGCAACGCCGCGUGCGCGAUGAAGGCCUUCGGGUUGUAAAGCGCUUUUCGGGGAGAUGAGGAAGGACAGUAUCCCCGGAAUAAGGCUCGGCUAACUACGUGCCAGCAGCCGCGGUAACACGUAGGAGUCAAGCGUUAUCCGAAUUCACUGGGCGUAAAGCGCGUGCAGGCGGCUUGGUAAGUUGGAUGUGAAAUCUCCUGGCUCAACUGGGAGAGGACGUUCAAUACUGUCAAGCUAGAGGGCGACAGAGGGAGGUGGAAUUCCCGGUGUAGUGGUGAAAUGCGUAGAUAUCGGGAGGAACACCAGUGGCGAAAGCGGCCUCCUGGGUCGCACCUGACGCUCAGACGCGAAAGCUAGGGGAGCGAACGGGAUUAGAUACCCGUGUAGUC